GCGAGGUUGCUUCGGUCACUGAGCUAGCGGCGGACGGGUGAGUAAUGCUUAGGAAUCUGCCUAUUAGUGGGGGACAACAUUCCGAAAGGGAUGCUAAUACCGCAUACGUCCUACGGGAGAAAGCAGGGGAUCUUUU
rnacentral:rRNA from 1 species